AACGAACGCUGGCGGCGUGCCUAACACAUGCAAGUCGAACGAUACCUUCCCGUCCUUUUUCGCACGGGUGGGUAAGGCGUGAACAGGUGCGUAUAGCGUGGGAAUACUGCCCCGAAAUGGGGGCUAACACCAGGAAAGUGUGUCGGACAAAAGAUUUAGCGCGUCUGGAGGAGGCUGGGUCUGAGUAGGUUGUUGGUAGGGUAAGAGCUGAGCACGGGGCCGAUCCAUAGCUGGUCGGGGAGGAGGAUCAGCCACGCUGGGACGGGGACACGGCCGAGACUCAUACGGGAGGCAGCAGUGGGGAAUAAUGGAGAAUGGGCGAGAGCCUGAUCCAGCAAUGCGGCGUGAGUGAUGAAGGCGUUAGGGUUGUAAAGCUCUUUUAUCCGUGAGGAUAAUGACGGUACCGGGAGAAUAAGCUCCGGCUAACUACGUG
rnacentral:rRNA from 1 species